CGCCCACCUUGACACUGCGUGUCCAUCUCCCGCAGCAGCGACACGUUGCGCUGGAUGUCCAGCGGCAGCGACUCCACGCACUCCAGAUGUCACCUUUUGCAACUUACAGGCUCAUCGCAAAAGGCUGGCAACUCAGUAACAGGUCAAAAAGGUCGAUAUUUACUGCCGUUUAAGUUUUAUAUGUGAUGUUAAAGCCUUACCCUUUGCCCUGUCCUCUCAUUUGCUUGGAAUGUGUUUUGGCAUAUGAAAUCAUAAUCUGUCAGUGCCAAAGCUUCAUCUCUCAAAGUGCUCCUUUGCAAAGGCAUUGUAUCUGAAAGGAGGUGAAUGGGAGAAAGUUUUACUGCAACAAAAUUUAUAUGCACAUUAAGUUGUUUGCAGAUGGCAUGUAUAUUUAUUUCCCAAACAUUGUUGUGAGCUAUAUCCAUUUCUGUAACAGUUUAUUUCUGAAGAGCUGUUUUCAUCAUGAGGAGAGGUUGGUACUGACAGCACAGUUACAGGCUAUAUGCAGGGAAGAUGUCACUUUCUGUUACACUAGAGUGUGCUCCAAAGACAAUUUUUUCUCACAGUAUCAGUUGAUACAGUGAGACAUCCCAUUAAUUCAUAUCUUUGAACUGUAAGAAGCAGUAGUUUAGACUAUUCUUGCCCACAGUAAGAGCUACCUUAUUUAGCUUUAAAGAAGAGCAAAAUAAUGAUUCAUGAUAAACUAUUACUUAUGGAAGCUCAGUGACAUUUUAUCCUGAGGAAUCAUUUGAGAGAAUUUUAAAUAAGGCAUCAAAGAAGUUUAGUCUUUUAAAACCCACUUGCCUGCCAACAAAUCUCCAGUUUUGACAGAGUAUCCUGUGUCCCUGAAGGCUGAUGCAGAAUUUGUUAUCAAGUGAUGGCCACGAUAAAUAUGGCACCUGAAAAAAAAGUGAGAAAAAAAUACAAGACCUUGCAAGCUUUGAAAAAACAGCAAAGAUGACUGAAUUCAAGGGGAAGAAUAAAUACCUUGUCUCUUAUAUUCCUGCAUAUAGGGCACAGAAUAUCUAUAAGAAGCACAUUCUUUCUUCUUCCAUUUGUGAGGAACAGCUGUACACACCAACACACCUUUGUUACAAAGUUUGUGAAACAAAAGCAUGCAGUGUACCUGCAGGAAGUUUCAGUAGUUGAUGGUUUAGGACAGUCAUCAUACUCUCCUGUGUGUGGAUGUUCAUUUUCCCCUCCACAUCAGAAAAUAAAAGUGGGAUUCAUCAGACCAAAUGUGGAUAUCUACAGUUAAGGCUGAGAGAACCUUAGCAUAAAUAUGUCUUGUCCUAAAAAUGUCCGUGUUGACCAAAGAGGGAGCCUGGGUCUGUUGUCUGAGAUGGCAGUGAAAUUAAUUCCACUCUCUAUUCUGAAAUGUGGUAACUAUGAGCCCAUAGUUACCAUUUAUGAAUUUGAGAUUGUAUGAAUUACAGAAAUCCCCCAGAAAGCUGUAGAGAGGUUUUGGCAGCUCUAAGUGUGCUUUGUUAAAACACCACACCAAACACAAGGAAGCCUCAUUUAAUUUCCUUGUUAUUGAGGGUUUUUUUUCCUCUCUCUCUUUGGAAACUGCUUAUCCAAAUCUAGUAGAAAUGAUUUCUCUCUAGUACAAUUGAAAAGUCACUGCAAACAGUACUGAAGAACAAUUUCAUAUCUUUGAAAUAAUUUUCUAGCACCAAAUUACAGAGUGUUUCUUAGGGAUGCUACUGCUAUGCAAAUUCUUCAGUGACAAAACUUACUUCUCAUUACCAAAACUGAAUAUUAUUCUAUGCUAACAUAUGACUGAUAUACACAUUUCUUUCAAGAACUGAAAGUCUAUAUUUGCUUUAUUAUUCAGUUCUGAUUGGGAGAAAUACUGUUUAAACAACAUAAAUAGAUUCCUAGCCUCUCACCCCUCCUCUUCCCCAAAAUAAUAAAAUGACGUGACAUUUGUUACAAACUAAGCAAGGAUUUUUGGUUGGAAAGCUGUCGUCAAAAUAUUGGCAGCAUCUAACUGAAUUUAGUCUGUCUCUUAAACUGCAGUUAAAAUAUAAAACACCAAAGGAUUUAGAAAAACUGGCAAGCAUUGGUUAAAUCUGUUUUUCUUGCAAAUAACAGUAUUUUUCCCAGUGUGAAUUCAUCUCUGUCAGACGCAUUUAGAAGAAGUAGUUUUGCAGUUCACUUGAGCCUAACUAUUAAUGUUACUUGACUAUGAAUGACAAUUCUUUAAGGGGUUGUCGUUUCAGAUGUCAGAACUGAACAAUUCAUUUUCAGCUGCAGGAAUAUUACCGGAGGAAGAAAAUACCUAACUGGAAACACUGAAAGCCAGUCUUGCAUUGCCUUAGCAAUAGAUAGCUGUGCCCACAAAUGAUCACACCCCAUUUUCAUAUUAUCCUUCAGCAUAUUUGAAAAUAUUACCAACUGUCAAUAUAAAACCUGAGUUUCUAAACAAUUAUAUGUGUGUGUCUUAAAAGCAUGUAGAAACCCCUGCUUUCAUUUAUUAAAGGCCAGCCAUAUAUUUGCUAGGCACAUACAAGUACUGAUAAUACUCCAUUCAGGCCAUCCUUUUAUUAGCAAGUAUCCUAGGUCAGUCCCAGCAGUCACAGGUAGAUGUUCAUUAAAAUCACAUAGUUUUAAAUUAAUGCAAGGAAGGCAAGUGAAAUUAGUCAUAGCUUAAAAUACUGAUAUU